UUACGGCCAUAUCACGUUAAAACACCAGUUAUCGUCCGAUCACCGAAGUUAACCAAAGUCGAAAUUAGUCAGUACCUAGAUGAGUGACCGCUUGUGAAUACCAGGUGCUGUAAG